rnacentral:snoRNA from 1 species
UCGAAUGAUGAACACACUGGUCCGUGUUGCUGAGCAGCUUAAGACCCUGCAAAUGAUUAACACAACAGCACUUUUGUGCACUUCUGACU